rnacentral:rRNA from 1 species
UACAGAGGUCCCAAGCGUUGUUCGGAUUCAUUGGGCGUAAAGGGUGCGUAGGCGGCGCGGUAAGUCGGAUGUGAAAUCUCGGAGCUUAACUCCGAAACUGCAUUCGAUACUGCCGUGCUUGAGGACUGGAGAGGAGACUGGAAUUUACGGUGUAGCGGUGAAAUGCGUAGAGAUCGGAAAGAACACCAACGGCGAAAGCACUCUGCUGGGCCGACACUGACACUGAGAGACGAAAGCUAGGGGAGCGAAUGGG